rnacentral:rRNA from 1 species
GAUGAACGCUGGCGGCGUGCCUAAUACAUGCAAGUCGAGCGAACAGAUAAGGAGCUUGCUCCUUUGACGUUAGCGGCGGACGGGUGAGUAACACGUGGGUAACCUACCUAUAAGACUGGGAUAACUUCGGGAAACCGGAGCUAAUACCGGAUAAUAUUUCGAACCGCAUGGUUCGAUAGUGAAAGAUGGUUUUGCUAUCACUUAUAGAUGGACCCGCGCCGUAUUAGCUAGUUGGUAAGGUAACGGCUUACCAAGGCGACGAUACGUAGCCGACCUGAGAGGGUGUUCGGCCCCACUGGACCUGAGACCCGGUCCAGCCUCCUACGGGAGGCAGCAGUGGGUAAUCUUCCGCAAUGGGCGAAAGCCUGACGGAGCCACGCCGCGUGGGUGAUGAAGGUCUUCGGUUCGUAAAACUCUUUUAUUAGGGAAGAACAUACGUGUAAGUAACUGUGCACGUCUUGACGGUACCUAAGCAGAAGGCCCCGGCUAACUCCGU